AUGAGGACUCACCAUCCUCCCUGCCCACAACACCCUCUCCCUGGGACCAGAGACGCACUACCUUCCUGAGGCUAAGCAUCCCCUCAUCCCGUCUCCCCUCAGGCCUCCUAGUACCUAUGAGGAGAGACCACAGGUCUGGCUGAGGACACCUUCAAGGCACCUUAGGUCAGCCUGAGGACGGGACACCUGCUUUAUAUAGAGGACGCAGGUCCUGGAUCAUUCGGGACUAUGACUUCAUGGCUGUACGUGGGUUACACCUCUGAUGAGGUGUCCGUCUUCCACAAUCCCUCAGCAGGGGUUGCCCGGCACACGAGGCACGGAUGUCUCAGUUCUACAGAGGAGCCAAGGGCUUGCAGCUUCCUUCUUGCAGCGAAAGGAACUUCACAGGAGGUCCACAGCAG